GAAACGACUGCUAAGACUGGAUAGGAGACAAGAAGGCAUCUUCUUGUUUUUAAAAGACCUAGCAAUAGGUAUGCUUAGGGAGGAGCUUGCGUCACAUUAGUUAGUUGGUGGGGUAAAGGCCUACCAAGACUAUGAUGUGUAGCCGGGCUGAGAGGUUGAACGGCCACAUUGGGACUGAGACACGGCCCAAACUCCUACGGGAGGCAGCAGUAGGGAAUUUUCGGCAAUGGAGGAAACUCUGACCGAGCAACGCCGCGUGAACGAUGAAGUAUUUCGGUACGUAAAGUUCUUUUAUUAGGGAAGAAUAAAUGAUGGAAAAAUCAUUCUGACGGUACCUAAUGAAUAAGCCCCGGCUAACUAUGUGCCAGCAGCCGCGGUAAUACAUAGGGGGCAAGCGUUAUCCGGAAUUAUUGGGCGUAAAGGGUGCGUAGGCGGUUAAAUAAGUUUAUGGUCUAAGUGCAAUGCUCAACAUUGUGAUGCUAUAAAAACUGUUUAGCUAGAGUAAGAUAGAGGCAAGUGGAAUUCCAUGUGUAGUGGUAAAAUGCGUAAAUAUAUGGAGGAACACCAGUAGCGAAGGCGGCUUGCUGGGUCUUUACUGACGCUGAGGCACGAAAGCGUGGGGAGCAAACAGGAUUAGAUACCCUGGUAGUCCACGCCGUAAACGAUGAGUACUAAACGUUGGGUAAAACCAGUGUUGAAGUUAACACAUUAAGUACUCCGCCUGAGUAGUACGUACGCAAGUAUGAAACUUAAAGGAAUUGACGGGACUCCGCACAAGCGGUGGAUCAUGUUGUUUAAUUCGAAAGGUACCCGAAAAACCUCACCAGGUCUUGACAUGCUUCUGCAAAGCUGUAGAAACACAGUGGAGGUUAUCAGUUGCACAGGUGGUGCAUGGUUGUCGUCAGCUCGUGUCGUGAGAUGUUGGGUUAAGUCCCGCAACGAGCGCAACCCUUAUUGUUAGUUACCAGCACGUAAUGGUGGGGACUUUAGCAAGACUGCCAGUGAUAAAUUGGAGGAAGGUGGGGACGACGUCAAAUCAUCAUGCCCCUUAUGACCUGGGCUACAAACGUGAUACAAUGGCUGUUACAAAGGGUAGCUGAAGCGCAAGUUUUUGGCGAAUCUCAAAAAAACAGUCUCAGUUCGGAUUGAAGUCUGCAACUCGACUUCAUGAAGUUGGAAUCGCUAGUAAUCGCGAAUCAGCAUGUCGCGGUGAAUACGUUCGCGGGGUUUGUACACACCGCCCGUC
rnacentral:rRNA from 1 species